rnacentral:rRNA from 1 species
GACGAACGCUGGCGGCGUGCUUAACACAUGCAAGUCGAACGGACAGGCCCUGCUUUUGUGGGGCGCUCGAGUGGCGAACGGGUGAGUAACACGUGAGGAACCCGCCCUUGACUUUGGGAUAACUCCAGGAAACUGGGGCUAAUACCGGAUAUGAGCUCCUGCUGCAUGGUGGGGGUUGGAAAGUUUCGGCGGUUGGGGCUGGACUCGCGGCUUAUCAGCUUGUUUGUGGGGUAGUGGCUUACCAAGGCUUUGACGGGUAGCCGGCCUGAGAGGGUGACCGGGCGCAUUGGGACUGCGAUACGGACCAGAAUCCUACGGGAGGCAGCAGUGGGGAAUAUUGCGCAAUGGGCGGGAGCCUGAUGCAGCAACGCCGCGUGCGGGAUGACGGCCUUCGGGGUGUAAACCGCUUUCGCCUGUGACAAAGCGUGAGUGACGGUAAUGGGUAAAGAAGCACCGGCUAACUACGUG